rnacentral:lncRNA from 10 species
CUAGAUUUGAAGGUUGAUCUCAUGUGUCAACUCAGAGGGUGUUUUUGGGUGAGAUUACCAUUUAAAUCAGUGAACUUUGAGGAAGCUGAUUGUCCUCCAUAAUAUGGGUGGGUCUCAUCCAGUUAGCUGAAACCCUGAAUAGAACAAUAAGACUAGCCUCCAAGAUUAAGAGAUAAUUCUGCAGUAGACUGCCUUCAGACUUCUCUUAUGCCAUUGGCUCUCCUGGGUCUCUGCCUGCCAGCCUUUGGACUGGAACUGCACCAUCGGCUCUCCUGGGUUUCUAGCUUGCUGGUUCACACUGCAGAUUUGGACUUGCCAGCCCCCGUAAUUAUGGCACUUAAUGAGUUUCCUUCAGAGAUUUGAAAAGAACAAUUUUCUGGAAAGAAGAUAAAACUAAAAGUGUUCUGUAAUGAUCAGUGAUGGGAUGAGCCCAGAGCACGAGGAGGCCCUGGAGAGAUUAUCUCUGGAGAGGAAACAAUCAUGAAAGAAAUAGCUCCAUGGUUACCCAAGUCUGAUUCACGAAGCAAGUGCCAUCACUUUUGUGCUACUUAAGCAUCAGCUGACCUGGCAAGGAUGACUUUUCAAGGCUUUGAACAUUUGCUUCUUAAUGCACACAUGCACACAACCUUCCAAUCAGAAGCUUCCCAAAGCCUCAAAAGCAAGUAGAAUGGAGAUAAAUGGGCUUCUCUACAGACAAAUAAAAGGACCAGAGAAGCCUUCCUCAGAUUCAUACUAGAACUGGUUCCAGGGCCAAUUUUACAAAGUCGCAAGGGGGACUUUUUCAGUGACUCCAGUGAAUAAGUGGAAUCUCUUCUGAUCUUGAAGGAUGAUGUUGAUGAAAGCCCAGUGAAAAUCAUAUUGUAAAAUAUCUAACUGAAACUAUUCUUUUCUAGUCACUGUCAGUGCCAUUAUAGUGAUACCUAACACUUAUUUAUAUAAUUAAAGAAAUGUAUAUAUAGCAUUCACCAAGUACUAGAUUGUUUGCUAAGUGCUUUAUAAAUACCUACUCACUUAAUUCUUAUACCAACCCUAUAAUUAGGUAUAAUUAUUAUGUAUCUCUUCUAGAUAAGGAAACUGAGAUACAAAAAGGUUAAUUAAAUUUUCCAAAGUCACACAGGUAGUAAGUUGUGAAAUUGGGAUUCAAAACCAUGCAGUUUGAAACAAUGAACUCUGAGGAAGCCUAUGCUAUAUUGAUGUUCAUAUCAGCCAG